CACGUAGGUGGCAUUGUAAGUCAAGGGUGAAAGCCCUCGGCUCAACCGAGGAAUUGCCUUUGAAACUGCUUUGCUUGAGUCCGGGAGGGGGGAGCGGAAUUCCCAGUGUAGCGGUGAAAUGCGUAGAUACUGGGAGGAACACCGGUGGCGAAGGCGGCUCCCUGGACCGGUACUGACACUGAGGUGCGAAAGCGUGGGUAGCAAACA
rnacentral:rRNA from 1 species